UGGGUGGCGUGAAAAAUGAGUGCGUUUUCGCGUUGCAACGAGGAAACUUCCUCGCGAGAUCAAGGUCCACCCUUAGUCUCGGGGAGAUCGGAUUCGGAACCGCUGAAUUCUUGUCCGCCCGAUACGUUACGCUCCUCCUCUUCCCUUUGGAAUUGUGUGAUUAUGGGAGGAAAAUGGUCGAAAUCUAGGAGCACCCGUCGUUAUUCAAAUAAUUAUGGGUCUCCGCCUUCACGAAGCACUUCGAGGUACUCUCCUUAUCCAGGGAACAAUCUGCAGCCUAGAGCAGUAGAUAGGGUACAGAGAAUGUAUACAAAAAUAGGUGAUGAUUACCGCUCGCUUGACCAGGUAACAGAAGCUCUUUCACAAGCUGGUCUCGAAUCUUCAAAUCUGAUUGUAGGAAUUGAUUUUACAAAGAGCAAUGAAUGGACAGGUAGAGUUGCUUUCAACCGCCGAUGUUUGCAUGACAUUGAGCAUACUCCAAACCCAUAUGAGCAAGCAAUAUCAAUUAUUGGAAGAACUCUUUCUGCUUUUGAUGAGGAUAACCUUAUUCCUUGCUUUGGAUUCGGAGAUGCAUCCACACAUGAUCAGGCCGUAUUCAGUUUUUAUCCAGACAACCAACCAUGUAAUGGCUUUGAGGAAGCACUACAAAGAUAUAGAGAAUUAGUUCCACAUCUUCGAUUAGCUGGACCAACAUCCUUUGCACCAAUAAUUGAAACAGCCAUUGGCAUUGUAGAUAAUAGUGGUGGCCAGUAUCAUGUUCUUCUUAUAAUAGCAGAUGGACAGGUAACACGCAGUGUUGACACAAGUCACGGCCAGCUAAGUUCACAGGAGCGAGAUACCGUGAAUGCCAUAGUCAAAGCUAGUGAUUACCCGUUGUCAAUAGUUCUAGUUGGAGUUGGUGAUGGACCAUGGGACAUGAUGCGAGAAUUUGAUGAUAAUAUACCUUCUCGAGCAUUUGAUAAUUUCCAGUUUGUGAACUUUACAGAGAUAAUGGCUAGAAAUAUUGCUAACAGUAAAAAGGAGACAGAGUUUGCACUUGCAGCAUUGAUGGAAAUCCCAUCACAAUAUAAAGCAACAAUACACCUUCAACUUUUGGGUAAACGAAGAGGAACACGACAAAUGAGUGCUCUCCCUCCACCAAUUAAGAGUCAUGGUUCAGCAUACUCAAAUCCAAAAUACUCACUCUCAAGCAGCUCAGAACAAGGUGCUAGAGUUCAUAAAAGGGAAUCAGCCAUUCCAUCAGAGAGUUCUGUACAAGAUAAAGAGAUCACUUCAAAACUUCUGAGCAUGCUAUAUUGGGUAUAAUUUUUCACAUGGUUGUACUUAUUGCUGUAUCUGAGGGAACCCUGUCUUCGGUGUAAAGCACAUCGAUAACAUCAAAUGUUAAUAUGAAGUUCUAAGGCAUGGAAGACAAACAUAUUUCCUUUUCUGUUAACAGAUUUGUCCCAUUUGCUUGUGGCAAGCUAAGGAUCUUGCAUUUGGCUGUGGGCAUCAGACCUGCCAUGAGUGUGGAAAAGACUUGAAGGUCUGCCCUAUUUGCCAGAGCCAGAUAGCGACUAGAAUAAGACUUUACUGAUACUUUGAGACUAUCGUGCAUAUUAAUGGUCAGAAUGGUGACUCGACAAUAGGUUGUGUUUAGUGUUUGAUUCACUUGAAGAGUUCAUGACAGUCGACGCACAUCUGGGACAUGAGUAAAGGUUGAGUUCAUCGUUGUUGAACAGUAUUCAAUAGUUGAUUCCAUCAAAUACUUGUAUAUUAGCAGUUGGUUCUGAAUAGCUGGCAGUUGCAAUGUAAGCAAUGCACCACUGCUGCAAGUAAGUUAAAACAUGUUUUAUUUUGCUUGAUUAUGCAUGUUUCUUUCUGCUGGAUUAUGUAAAUAAAAUAUGUUUUUCCCAGAUAAAAGCAAUAUUGCUUUUCCUGGAUUAUUCUUUUUUUUUUUUGAGGUAAAAGGAGGGUAAAAACCCUGCUUUUCCUAGUUUAAUUGCUCAUCAGUUUUUGUUUCUUUCUUCAUAUUAUAUGUAUGUGGCAGACAAGCACUAUUCACAUU